rnacentral:lncRNA from 1 species
GGGACUGCUCACCCCGCCCUCCUGCCCCACAGCCCGAGGGUCCCCGGGGCUCGGCCUGCGGAAGCCCGUCCAGCUUCUGACCAGGGGCCCGCGCCCAACUCCAGCGAGCGUUGCUGAAGCACGUGGCCAUCGUGUGGUGUCACGGGCCGUGUGGCUGCGCCCCAGGACUGAGCGUGCACCCCUGAAGCACGGCGGCUGGCUCAGGGAGUUGUGCAGCCAUCAUGUGCCCGUCAGUCUGAAACCUGGUGCCGUACCCACUGCUCCGCACCCCCUCCUCGGCCGGAGGCAGCCACCGAGCCACUUGUUGUCUUAGGAGUUGCUUACUCUGGACAGCUCGUGGAAGCAAAGCUGCAGCAUGCGACCUCUUACGUCUGCCUUCUUUCCCUCAGCAUGAUUUCCAGAUUCAUCCGUGUCGUAGCUCUGUCAGCGCGUUGUUCCUUUUAAUGGUUGAAUAAUAUUCCUUUGUACAGAUUUUAUUUCUUUACUCAUCGUGUGUUAGACAUUUGUGUUGCUUCUACUUUUUGGCCACUUUGAAUAAAGCUGCUAUGGACAUGUGUGUAUGAAUUUUCCUGUGGUUGCAUGUUUUCAUUUCUCUUGGACAUGCACCCAUGAGUGG